AUCUUGAUGACAUACAAGCACAAAACACAUUCUGUUGUUUCUGAUGGAAAGACCAUAUCCAAAACGCUGAUAUUGAUUUCUACAUUAUCUGACACUGCACUUGUUUCGCAAGAAUACCCGUGUACACUGCUUGCAUUUGUAUGUUAGUGGUGCAUUUAUUUCGUUGUAUACAUGCAUUGGCAAAUAUUCAGUUGAUGUAACGGUAAACGGUUUGAUGGGUGGUUUUUGUAUACUGGAGAAUCAUGCAGCUUGCUGCAUGCGCAGACUGACUAUAUCAAUCUUUAUCAAGUGCACUGGCCUGACCGGUUGUGAUAUUACAUUCUUGGUCUAAUACCUAAGUAGGUUUGCCAGUUUUUGGCGAGUUGCGGUUGAACUUCUGAACCGCUAUCACGGGUUGAACCGGAUGUGUGAAGCUAUAUCAUGAUAUGCUUGAAAACAAUGUAUAGUGCUUUCAUGAUCCACAGGUUUGGGGAUUUGAAAAAGUUUAUAAAAAUGGAAGACUAUUCAGAAAUGAAGGCAUUUCACUACUUUGCAGCAUGACGAACAUGGCAGAAAAAAAUGUAACUAUCAAUCCGCUCUUGCAGUUAAUGGGAAACUUGCUGUUGAUUAUCAGGUGUGUAAACUUCUAAACUGUAGCUAUUUAGACGAUGAAAGAACACCGAAUAGUUGGGUUCCGGAUUACUACGCAUGUAUGGUCAUCAUCUUUACCUAUAAUAGUAUAUAGCCUUAAUCAUAGUAUAUAGCUCGAUCGCAGGUAUGGUCAUCAUCUUCAAGAUGGUUUAGGUAUAAAUCUAUUAUGGGUUUAACUGGGUUUUUUAUUUCUAAGAGCGUGUAGUAGUCAGAGGAGGAAAGACUGAGAAUCUUGGACGCCUGUUGAACUGGAAAAGGGCGUGUAGUAGUCAGAGGAAAGACUGAGAUCGAAAUAUCUGAUUCUAAAACAAAGAGUGCAGCAAUUGUAGUAAAAGAGGUCACUUUUCAUGACUAUUUAUAAGAGUUUAUAGGAUUUAAAAUUCUUAUUACAUGAGUUCGUACACCAUGCUGGAUUAACUUGAUUUGGAAAUCUGUUUUGUAUAUGCAACAAAUUCCUUAUCAGACCAAGAAAUCCUCUCUUGUUAUGAAAAAUGCCGAGCUAAUUCAGAACAAGCUUUUGUUAAAGACUUUGGAAGGCAUAAGUGAUAUCCGUGACGCGAGUGAUCGAUCUGGAAUGCGAAUAGUCAUUGAGGUGCAUUGGUUUAGUUUUGAUCCGACGUACCACAUUGAACGGGAUCAAAUGUGCUGUUAUCUCACCCGUACAACUCAAAUGACUCAUCAGCUAAUAAAAUACAACUUACAUGAAACUCUUACUUAUGGAGGAUGGAUAGGAAGCUAAGGGGCCUCGGUAUUGCCGGUCAAUCGAAAACAAGGGUUGCAGCAACAUAAAACUCUUACUAUAAUUAUUAAUAACUGAUUUAACCAAUUAAGAAACUUAUGAGUUUGUUCAUAUAGCUUUCUAAUAACAUAUUAUAGUUGCGCUUUUUCAGUUAUACGUAUAUAAUUGAACAAACAAA